ACACUCAUAUGUUUUAUUUAUAUAUUUAUUUAUUUUUGGCACCAGGGAUUGAACUCAGGUCCUUGUGCUUGCGCAGCAGGUGGUGAAACCACUGAACUAAAUCCCCAGCCCUCAUAUAUUUAAGUGUACACACACAUACACAUGCACGCACACCCCACACAUGCACACACUUGCUAACAUGUGCAAAUACACAUCGCCCGGUAUACACAUAGACCUAAGUGUGCAGCUCACAUGUGCACACAAUCACACACACACACUCCCAGCAAGCAGUUCAUAAAUUUUGGGAGUGCUGCUGAAGAUUUUUGGCUAUGAGGAUGGGUUACAUUACACAGAGGACAGCUCCCCCAUCUUACAGCUUCCUCUACCUACUUUCUCUGUCUUGCCUUUCUAGUCCUUCUUUUCCUCCAGCACUACCACCUUCCCCUGUGGCCCCAACAUUUCUAUCCCUCUGUUUUGUAGAGCCAUUCUGCUGCCCACUCUGGAGCUGGAGAAGGCCAAACUGCACCUGCAGAUCUCAGCCAACCAAGGAGGUCUUUCCCAGAGUCAUGGGACUCAAGUUUGUCCAUUUUGUCUCAAACAUCAUUAGGAAUGGAUGUAACAGAAAAGCAUCUUGUCAGCUCCUGUUUACUACCCAAGCCUGCCACAUUGAGCCUCUACUCAGUGCCGGCACUGGGCCAGGCCUUGCAGCCACAGAGACAGUAAAGCACCACAGUCUAAAGCCAAAAAACAGACACGUAAACAAAUAGUGAUGCAUGAAGGGGACCCCAGUGACAAUGCAAACCAGACUUCAUCUCCCAAUGGGGUCACCCCCUGGCUCCACGUGCUGGAGGAACCGGAAGGGAAAGUUUGGGCCUACUAUGUGGGGCAUUUGGAAGACAUUUGCCCGUAAUCAACAUGGAGGUAUGCACCCCCAGCAAUCAUCUGAAGAUGGUUUACCACAAGAGGGGACAGUCUCCUAUCCCAC
rnacentral:lncRNA from 1 species